rnacentral:rRNA from 1 species
AUUGAACGCUGGCGGCAGGCCUAACACAUGCAAGUCGAGCGAGCGGCGGACGGGUGAGUAAUGUCUGGGAAACUGCCUGAUGGAGGGGGAUAACUACUGGAAACGGUAGCUAAUACCGCAUACUAUCAGAUGUGCCCAGAUGGGAUUAGCUAGUAGGUGGGGUAACGGCUCACCUAGGCAACGAUCCCUAGCUGGCCUGAGAGGCUGACCAGCCACACUGGAACUGAGACACGGUCCAGACUCCUACGGGAGGCAGCAGUAGGGAAUAUUGCACAAUGGGCGAAAGCCUGACGCAGCCACGCCGCGUGUGUGAAGAAGGCCUUCGGGUUGUAAAGCACUUUCAUCGGGGAGGCGUUACCCACACAGGAAGCACCGGCUAACUCCGUGCCAGCAGCCGCGGUAAUAC